CAGGUGGUGCAUGGCUGUCGUCAGCUCGUGUCGUGAGGUGUUGGGUUAAGUCCCGCAACGAGCGCAACCCUUGUGUUUAGUUGCCAUCUUUGAAUUUGGAACCCUGAACGGACUGCCCGGGAUACACCCGAGGAAGGGGAGGAUGACACCUCAUCUUCUCGCCCCUUUUGCCCUGGGGGACACACGUGCUACAAUGGGCGGGACAAAGGGGCGCGAUCCCCCGAGGGGGAGCUAACCCCCAAAACCCCCCCUCUCUUCGGAUUGCGGGCUGCGACUCUCCUGCCUGAAACCGGAAACUCU
rnacentral:rRNA from 1 species